GACGAACGCUGGCGGCGUGCUUAACACAUGCAAGUCGAACGGGAUUUAGUAGACAGAAGCCUCGGCUAAAGAUUACUAAUGAGAGUGGCGAACGGGUGAGUAACGCGUGAGCAACCUGCCUAUGACAGUGGGAUAGCCUCGGGGAACCGGGAUUAAUACCGCAUAAAAUCGUAGAAACACAUGUUUCAACGGUCAAAGAUUUAUCGGUCAUAGAUGGGCUCGCGUCUGAUUAGCUAGUUGGUGAGAUAACAGCCCACCAAGGCGACGAUCAGUAGCCGGUCUGAGAGGAUGAACGGCAACAUUGGAACUGAGACACGGUCCAAACUCCUACGGGAGGCAGCAGUGGGGAAUAUUGCACAAUGGGGGAAACCCUGAUGCAGCGACGCCGCGUGAACGAAGAAGGUAUUCGUAUCGUAAAGUUCUGUCCUAUGGGAAGAUAAUGACAGUACCAUAGAAGAAAGCUCCGGCUAAAUACGUG
rnacentral:rRNA from 1 species